AAUUACGCCUGUAUGAAGCCGGAAUUGCUAGUAAUGGCAGGUCAGCAUACUGCCGUGAAUACGUUCCCGGGCCUUGUACACACCGCCCGUCACACCAUGAGAGUUGGGGAUACCCAAAGCCCGUGAGCCAACUUAUAGAGGCAGCGGUCUAAGGUAGAAUCAAUGAUUGGGGGUGAAGUCGUAACAAGGUAUC
rnacentral:rRNA from 1 species